UGCCAGCCGCCGCGGUAAUACGUAAGGGGGAAGGGUUGUUCGGGAAUUAUUGGGCGUAAAGGGUGCGCAGUCGGAAACAUAAGCCUGAUGUAAAAGGCUCCAGCUUAACUGGAAGAAUGCAUUGGGAACUGUGUAACUAGAGUAUAAGAGGGGGAGUUGGAAUUCCAGGUGUAGGGGUGAAAUCUGUAGAUAUCUGGAAGAACACCGGUGGCGAAGGCGAACUCAUGGCUAUAUAAUGAAGCUGAGGCAAGAACUCGUGGGGCGCGAACAGUAUUAGAUC
rnacentral:rRNA from 1 species